UACGAAGGGGGCUAGCGUUGCUCGGAAUCACUGGGCGUAAAGGGUGCGUAGGCGGGUCUUUUAAGUCAGGGGUGAAAUCCUGGAGCUCAACUCCAGAACUGCCUUUGAUACUGAAGAUCUUGAGUUCGGGAGAGGUGAGUGGAACUGCGAGUGUAGAGGUGAAAAUUCGUAGAUAUUCGCAAGAACACCAGUGGCGAAGGCGGCUCACUGGCCCGAUACUGACGCUGAGGCACGAAAGCGCGGGGAGCAAACAGGG
rnacentral:rRNA from 1 species